AUGGAAAGAAUGGCAAGCUCAUACUUCAAAGAGGUUUUUACUAAAGAUCCAACAUUGGAUCCGAAUGAGGUACUGGAUACUAUCUCCCCUAAAGUUUCGGUGGAGAUGAACGAGGCCUUAUGCAGAGCGUAUACGGAGGAGGAGAUAUCAAAUGCAUUGUUUCAGAUUGGCCCGUUGAAAGCCCCGGGAUGUGAUGGGUUCCCGGCAAGGUUUUACCAAUGGAACUGGGCCACUUUAAAGGUGGAAAUAGUGGCAGCAGUGCAGGAGUUCUUUUCCAGUGGUGUCAUGCCAGACGGUGUUAAUGACACGAGCAUUGUGCUAAUUCCCAAGGUGCCCCCAUCCAAGAGAGCUCAAGGAUUUCAGACCCAUUAG
rnacentral:rRNA from 1 species